UACGGGGGGGGGCAAGCGUUGUUCGGAAUUACUAGGCGUAAAGGGCUCGUAGGUGGCCAACUAAGUCAGACGUGAAAUCCCUCGGCUUAACCGGGGAACUGCGUCUGAUACUGGAUGGCUUGAGGUUGGGAGAGGGAUGCGGAAUUCCAGGUGUAGCGGUGAAAUGCGUAGAGAUCGGGAGGAAGGCCGGUGGCGAAGGCGGCUCUCUGGAACGUCCCUGACGCUGAGGCGCGAAAGCGUGGGGAGCAAACAGG
rnacentral:rRNA from 1 species